GAUGAAGAACGUAGCGAAAUGCGAUAAGUAAUGCGAAUUGCAGAAUUCAGUGAGUCAUCGAAUCUUUGAACGCACAUUGCGCCCCUUGGUAUUCCAUGGGGCAUGCCUGUUCGAGCGUCAUUUGUACCUUCAAGCUUUGCUUGGUGUUGGGUGUUUGUCCAUUCUCUUGCAGAGGGACUCGCCUUAAAGUAAUUGGCAGCCAGUGUUUUGGUUUUGAAGCGCAGCACAAGUCGCGAUUCAAAGCUAUACGCCCGCUUCCACAAGCCUUUUUCACUUUUGACCUCGGAUCAGGUAGGGAUACCCGCUGAACUUAAGCAUAUCAAUAAGCGGAGGA
rnacentral:misc_RNA from 1 species